UACGGAGGGUGCAAGCGUUAUCCGGAUUUACUGGGUUUAAAGGGUGCGUAGGUGGGUAGGUAAGUCAGUGGUGAAAUCUUCAAGCUUAACUUGGAAACUGCCAUUGAUACUAUUUAUCUUGAAUACUUUGGAGGUAAGCGGAAUAUGUCAUGUAGCGGUGAAAUGCUUAGAUAUGACAUAGAACACCAAUUGCGAAGGCAGCUUACUACACAGUUAUUGACACUGAGGCACGAGAGCGUGGGGAUCAAACAGG
rnacentral:rRNA from 1 species